GUGGCCGCCAUUCGACAAACGAACACGUGGCGGCGGCCAUUUUAACUAAUUCGAACGCGGUCAGCGGUGUGUGCAGCCAAAUCUAUGGUACUGUUUUCGGCUACCCUAUUGCACGAACACCGCUGACCCGUACUUUCUACUCCACUUCGACACUGCGGCUGGAGACUAAGUCCCGUUCGAAGAUUCGAACGCAUGUUUGAAU